ACUCCUACGGGAGGCAGCAGUGGGGAAUAUUGCACAAUGGGGAAACCCGUAGCAUGCAGCCAUGCCGCGUGUGUGAAGAAGGCCUUCGGGUUGUAAAGCACUUUCAGCGAGGAGGAAAGGGUGUAAGUUAAUACCUUACAUCUGUGACGUUACUCGCAGAAGAAGCACCGGCUAACUCCGUGCCAGCAGCCGCGGUAAUACGGAGGGUGCGAGCGUUAAUCGGAAUUACUGGGCGUAAAGCGUGCGCAGGCGGUUUGUU
rnacentral:rRNA from 1 species